GCCCAUAGCAGAAAGCAGUGGCAACUUGAGGUCCACUGGUUGCUUUGAUUUUGGUUUUGGAGCUUUUAAAAGAGUGGGAGAGAAGCAAGUGGUGAAACUCCGGAGAGAAGGUACACCACUGUGCUGUCAUUUCUGCUCUGUACGCGGGUCAAGGAGGUCCCCGCGGGUUUCGCCGCCUCUGGAGCCGCUCACUGCUCAGUCCCCUUCAUGCCCUGAGAGUUUUCCAAGUCUUAUCCCCUGCCCCAUUCUAACAAGUACCUGGCAAUAAACGGGCGGGGCAGGACAAAGGUCUGGAAGCCGGAAAGCAGCGCUAAACCCUAAAAACCCCGCAUCUAGCAGACAGGGCUUGUGGCGAGGAAUGCAGGGCUCCCAGCUCUGCCUAGGCAGGUUUCAGGUUGCUAAGAGCCCCUUAUCCAGAGCCCUUGGCUGGGCUCUGGGCUCUUGGGGUCCAGGUUAGGCGUGGACUUCCAGUCCUGGCCACGGAGCUAGAGAGAAGGGCUCCGAGGCCCGGAAGAUUUCUCUCCACGCGGGCAGAUCUUUGCAAGCUUCUUAGCCUCGUAAAUUGUUUCCCUUUCCUAAUACCGGACACAGGGCCGUGUUUCUUUUCAGGACAAGAGGGGUUAUAAACUGUUUGAAGUUCAUCAGCACGGUGAAGUUUUAUUGUAUUGCCGGUCCCUAAGAUUUACACCCUGAAAGAGAAGCCGGCAGCCAGGCAGACUCCCUCCUUACCUCCGAGUUUCCACGCCGGACGCACGUGGCCAAGCGGACACUUUGCCUUCGGGAGCAGGGAGGGAGGGAGCCGGGUCCGACCGACUCUCCCUCACUGGCUCAGUUCUACUUGGCUCCGCUCUCCUGUCUACUCCCCUGUCUCAAGGCUUGGGUUGCCUUAGAAUUGGAAGGUUUGAUCUCUGAGAGCUGCCUUGGCGUCUGGGUAACCCUGGAGCCCAGGGACUGGCCAGAUGGUCCGGGAAGCUCUCUUGACUUUUCCAAGCAUCCAACCGCUACUUAGAAGAAUUUGCAUCGGAUGUUUGUUUCCCCAUUUGGAUACUAAGGGGGAAAAAAAAAAAAAACAGAUCUUCACGCUGUUUGGUUCCGGAUCUGCUGGGCUGUCGCUCUCCAAGAGCGUGGGUGGAAUUGAAGGGGCCGGCUGGGCGCCCGCAUUGAUCUUUAAAAAAUCAUUUUGAAAUCGCCAUAAU
rnacentral:lncRNA from 1 species